rnacentral:rRNA from 1 species
GAUCCUGGCUCAGGAUGAACGCUGGCGGCGUGCUUAACACAUGCAAGUCGAACGGGAUCCAUCAGGCUUUGCUUGGUGGUGAGAGUGGCGAACGGGUGAGUAAUGCGUGACCGACCUGCCCCAUACACCGGAAUAGCUCCUGGAAACGGGUGGUAAUGCCGGAUGCUCCGACUCCUCGCAUGGGGUGUCGGGAAAGAUUAUAUCGGUAUGGGAUGGGGUCGCGUCCUAUCAGGUAGUCGGCGGGGUAACGGCCCACCGAGCCUACGACGGGUAGCCGGCCUGAGAGGGCGACCGGCCACAUUGGGACUGAGAUACGGCCCAGACUCCUACGGGAGGCAGCAGUGGGGAAUAUUGCACAAUGGGCGCAAGCCUGAUGCAGCGACGCCGCGUGCGGGAUGACGGCCUUCGGGUUGUAAACCGCUUUUGAUCGGGAGCAAGCCUUCGGGUGAGUGUACCUUUCGAAUAAGCACCGGCUAACUACGUGCCAGCAGCCGCGGUAAUACGUAGGGUGCAAGCGUUAUCCGGAAUUAUUGGGCGUAAAGGGCUCGUAGGCGGUUCGUCGCGUCCGGUGUGAAAGUCCAUCGCUUAACGGUGGAUCUGCGCCGGGUACGGGCGGGCUGGAGUGCGGUAGGGGAGACUGGAAUUCCCGGUGUAACGGUGGAAUGUGUAGAUAUCGGGAAGAACACCAAUGGCGAAGGCAGGUCUCUGGGCCGUUACUGACGCUGAGGAGCGAAAGCGUGGGGAGCGAACAGGAUUAGAUACCCUGGUAGUCCACGCCGUAAACGGUGGAUGCUGGAUGUGGGGCCCGUUCCACGGGUUCCGUGUCGGAGCUAACGCGUUAAGCAUCCCGCCUGGGGAGUACGGCCGCAAGGCUAAAACUCAAAGAAAUUGACGGGGGCCCGCACAAGCGGCGGAGCAUGCGGAUUAAUUCGAUGCAACGCGAAGAACCUUACCUGGGCUUGACAUGUUCCCGACAGCCGUAGAGAUAUGGCCUCCCUUCGGGGCGGGUUCACAGGUGGUGCAUGGUCGUCGUCAGCUCGUGUCGUGAGAUGUUGGGUUAAGUCCCGCAACGAGCGCAACCCUCGCCCUGUGUUGCCAGCACGUCAUGGUGGGAACUCACGGGGGACCGCCGGGGUCAACUCGGAGGAAGGUGGGGAUGACGUCAGAUCAUCAUGCCCCUUACGUCCAGGGCUUCACGCAUGCUACAAUGGCCGGUACAACGGGAUGCGACACGGCGACGUGGAGCGGAUCCCUGAAAACCGGUCUCAGUUCGGAUUGGAGUCUGCAACCCGACUCCAUGAAGGCGGAGUCGCUAGUAAUCGCGGAUCAGCAACGCCGCGGUGAAUGCGUUCCCGGGCCUUGUACACACCGCCCGUCAAGUCAUGAAAGUGGGUAGCACCCGAAGCCGGUGGCCUAACCCUUUGUGGAUGGAGCCGUCUAAGGUGAGACUCGUGAUUGGGACUAAGUCGUAACAAGGUAACC